ACGAAUUGCAGAACCUCGUGAAUCAUCAAAAUUUUGAACGCACAUUGCGCUUUUGGGUAACUCCCAAGAGCAUGCUUAUCUGAGUGUUCCUAA
rnacentral:rRNA from 2 species